rnacentral:rRNA from 1 species
GACGUAGGGCGCGAGCGUUGUCCGGAUUUAUUGGGCGUAAAGGGCUCGUAGGUGGCCAUCUAAGUCAGACGUGAAAUCCCUCGGCUUAACCGGGGAACUGCGUCUGAUACUGGAUGGCUUGAGUUCGGGAGAGGGAUGCGGAAUUCCAGGUGUAGCGGUGAAAUGCGUAGAUAUCUGGAGGAACACCGGUGGCGAAGGCGGCAUCCUGGACCGACACUGACACUGAGGAGCGAAAGCCAGGGGAGCAAACGGG